UCGAGAAUCUUCGGCAAUGGGGGAAACCCUGACCGAGCGACGCCGCGUGCGAGAUGAAGGCCUUCGGGUUGUAAAUCGCUGUCAGAGGGGAGGAAAUUCCAAGGGGUUCUCUCCUUGGUUUGACCUAUCCUCAGAGGAAGGACGGGCUAAGUUCGUGCCAGCAGCCGCGGUAAGACGAACCGUCCAAACGUUAUUCGGAAUCACUGGGCUUAAAGGGUGCGUAGGCGGCUCUGCAAGUUGGGUGUGAAAGCCCUCGGCUCAACCGAGGAACUGCGCCCAAAACUGUGGGGCUUGAGGGAGACAGAGGUGAGCGGAACUUAGGGUGGAGCGGUGAAAUGCGUUGAGAUCCUAAGGAACACCAGUAGCGAAAGCGGCUCACUGGGUCUCUUCUGACGCUGAGGCACGAAAGCUAGGGGAGCGAAGAG
rnacentral:rRNA from 1 species